GACGAACGCUGGCGGCGUGCUUAACACAUGCCAGUCGAACGGAAAGGCCCUGCUUGCAGGGUACUCGAGUGGCGAACGGGUGAGUAACACGUGGGUGAUCUGCCCUGCACUUCGGGAUAAGCCUGGGAAACUGGGUCUAAUACCGGAUAGGAGCCAUUUUUAGUGUGAUGGUUGGAAAGUUUUUUCGGUGUAGGAUGAGCUCGCGGCCUAUCAGCUUGUUGGUGGGGUAAUGGCCUACCAAGGCGGCGACGGGUAGCCGGCCUGAGAGGGUGGACGGCCACAGUGGGACUGAGAGACGGCCCAGACUCCUACGGGAGGCAGCAGUGGGGAAUAUUGCACAAUGGGCGCAAGCCUGAUGCAGCGACGCCGCGUGGGGGAUGACGGCCUUCGGGUUGUAAACUCCUUUCGCUAGGGACGAAGCUUUUUGUGACGGUACCUAGAUAAGAAGCACCGGCUAACUACGUG
rnacentral:rRNA from 1 species